AACGCACAUUGCGCCCUCUGGUAUUCCGGAGGGCAUACCUGUUUGAGCGUCAGUUCUCUCUCAAAAAAAGUAUUUUUUGGUGUUGCUCGUACUCUUUUAGAGUUGAGUGAAAUGAAUUGGCAAGGCAGUUCUAGCUUAUCAACGUAUUAGGUUUUACCAUUUCGUUGGAAUAGCAAAAACAAGCCGGGCGAAAUAACCGGGUUUUUACCCAUUUUAUUUGACCUCAAAUCAGGCAGGACUACCCGCUGAACUUAA
rnacentral:misc_RNA from 1 species